rnacentral:rRNA from 1 species
UGUUUCMUGUGGGAUCUUGUGAUUCGCUNUUAAAAGAUGGUUUCGGCUAUCACUUUGGGAUGGACCUGCGGCGCAUUAGCUUGUUGGUAGGGUAACGGCCUACCRAGGCUGUGAUGCGUAGCCGAGUUGAGAGACUGAUCGGCCACAAUGGAACUGAGACACGGUCCAUACUCCUACGGGAGGCAGCAGUAGGGAAUCUUCCACAAUGGGCGCAAGCCUGAUGGAGCAACACCGCGUGAGUGAAGAAGGGUUUCGGCUCGUAAAGCUCUGUUGUUAGAGAAGAACGUGCGUGAGAGCAACUGUUCACGCAGUGACGGUAUCUAACCAGAAAGUCACGGCUAACUACGUGCCAGCAGCCGCGGUAAUACGUAGGUGGCAAGCGUUAUCCGGAUUUAUUGGGCGUAAAGCGAGCGCAGGCGGUUUGAUAAGUCUGAUGUGAAAGCCUUUGGCUUAACCAAAGAAGUGCAUCGGAAACUGUCAGACUUGAGUGCAGAAGAGGACAGUGGAACUCCAUGUGUAGCGGUGGAAUGCGUAGAUAUAUGGAAGAACACCAGUGGCGAAGGCGGCUGUCUGGUCUGCAACUGACGCUGAGGCUCGAAAGCAUGGGUAGCGAACAGGAUUAGAUACCCUGGUAGUCCAUGCCGUAAACGAUGAGUGCUAGGUGUUGGAGGGUUUCCGCCCUUCAGUGCCGCAGCUAACGCAUUAAGCACUCCGCCUGGGGAGUACGACCGCAAGGUUGAAACUCAAAGGAAUUGACGGGGGCCCGCACAAGCGGUGGAGCAUGUGGUUUAAUUCGAAGCUACGCGAAGAACCUUACCAGGUCUUGACAUCUUGCGCCAACCCUAGAGAUAGGGCGUUUCCUUCGGGAACGCAAUGACAGGUGGUGCAUGGUCGUCGUCAGCUCGUGUCGUGAGGUGUUGGGUUAAGUCCCGCAACGAGCGCAACCCUUGUUACUAGUUGCCAGCAUUCAGUUGGGCACUCUAGUGAGACUGCCGGUGACAAACCGGAGGAAGGUGGGGACGACGUCAGAUCAUCAUGCCCCUUAUGACCUGGGCUACACACGUGCUACAAUGGACGGUACAACGAGUCGCGAACUCGCGAGGGCAAGCUAAUCUCUUAAAAUCGUUCUCAGUUCGGACUGCAGGCUGCAACUCGCC